CAAUUUGCAAGGGAAUUGCAAGGGAUCUCUCGCAAUUCCCUUGCAAAUUUGCGAGGGUUUUUGAUUACCUUGCAAAUUUGCAAGAGAAUUGCGAGGAAUCCCUUGCAAUUUCCUUGCAAAAUCAUGUUUUUUCCACUUGAACGGUUUUAGGGUUUUGUUAAAGACUUUUGUUUCGUAUAACACAUUUUGUUAAAAUAUUUAGUGUUUAAAAUGUACAUUGUUAAAUAUUUUUGAAAAUACAACAUUUUAGUUAUAAAUUCAAUUCUCGACACUUGAACUAAUUACUUAAUACAAAAUAGAAACUUUAUAAUUUAUAUAUUCAAUACAUGUUAACUAAAUUACUGUACUUUGUUAAACAUAUUCAUGUAAAUAAUUUUUUGAAAAACAAAUAUCAAGAACCAUAUUAGUAUAUACAAAACAUAACAAAACUCUAAACAAAACUCUAAAACACUUUAACCAAAAAUUUGCAAGGAAAUUGCAAUGACACUCAAUUUGCAAGAGAAUUGCAAGGGAUCUCUUGCACUUUCCUUGCAAAACUAUUUUCCCCUCCAUAAAAAAAGAAAAUGACAAACGAGUUUCUAGAACUAGGGUUAGUAUAUAAAGACACAAACCUAAUUCUUUUCAUUUGUUGGAGCCGUCAAGAAAAAAAAAACAAGGGAUUUUUUUCUCCCACCAUCUCUCAUCUCUCGGGCUCUCUCUCCUCGACCUUGUGUCUUCUAGCCGGACUCUCUCUCCCGCCUCUCCUCUCUGCCGUCAUGACAUCUCUCCUUGUCGCCAGCUCUCCUCUCUCUCACACACAGCCGGAUCUACUUUAUCUCACGCCCCACACCACUAUGGUUGGAGGAAGCAAGGCACACUUCCAUGGGAGAUGAAGGAUUGAGAAGAAGCUUGAUGGUUAAGGAGACAGGGCCGGUGGUGGUGCGGCUGUGGUUGUGGUUCGGCUCUGGUGGUGGUGCGGCGGAGGAGGCAAGGAGUUGCUGAUUUAUUUUCUAGGGUUAAUUUUUUUUUUAGAAUUAGGUUAGCUUAAUUAGGUUUAGUUAAACUGGUUUAUUUAACUAAACCAGCUUAUUAUAACUUUUUAGCUUAUUAUAAUUUUUUUAGGCUUUUAAUAUAUUCAUGUAUUUAAAUAUGUAUCUGUAUGUAUAUAUAUAUUUCGGUAUAUAUAUUUAUUUACAUUUUUUUAUUUUGUAUUUUUGUUAAUUUUUUUUUAAUAUUUUUAAAAGAAUUUGCGAGGGAAACUUUUUAUUGCAAAUCUAAUGCAAUUUUGCGAGGGAAUAUUCGACUCUCGCAAAUUUGCGACGAAAAUUAUUCUCUUGCAAAUUUGCGAUGGAAAUUAUUCCGUUGCAAAUUUGCGAGAGAAUUGCAAGCGUUUUUCAUUUGCGAGUAAGGAUUUGCAAGGAAACUA